AGAGUUUGAUCAUGGCUCAGGACGAACGCUGGCGGUGUGCUUAAUACAUGCAAGUCGAACGUGAAGCUGACUUCGGUCAGUGGAAAGUGGCGGACGGGUGAGUAACACGUAGGUAAUCUGCCUUAAGGUGGGGGACAACGUUGGGAAACCGACGCUAAUACCCCAUAUGUGGUAAGUUGAAAUACUUAUUAUGAAAGUUCCGGCGCCUUAAGAUGAGCCUGCGGCUGAUUAGUUUGUUGGUGAGGUAAUGGCUUACCAAGACUAUGAUCAGUAGCUGGUCUGAGAGGAUGAUCAGCCACAAUGGGACUGAGACACGGCCCAUACUCCUACGGGAGGCAGCAGUAGGGAAUUUUGCGCAAUGGAGGAAACUCUGACGCAGCAACACCGCGUGAGUGAUGAAGCAUCUUGGUGUGUAAAACUCUGUCAGUAGGGACGAAUUUUGACGGUACCUACAAAGGAAGCAUCGGCUAACUACGUGCCAGCAGCCGCGGUAAGACGUAGGAUGCGAGCGUUGUCCGGAAUUAUUGGGCGUAAAGAGUUCGUAGGCGGCAUGAAAAGUCUGGUGUUAAAGCCCGGGGCUCAACUCCGGUUCGGCAUUGGAUACUUUCAAGCUAGAGUACAGAAGAGGCAAAGGGAAUUCCUAGUGUAGCGGUGAAAUGCGUAGAUAUUAGGAGGAACACCGGUGGCGUAAGCGCUUUGCUGGGCUGUAACUGACGCUGAGGAACGAAAGCCAGGGGAGCAAAUGGGAUUAGAUACCCCAGUAGUCCUGGCCGUAAACGAUGGAUACUAGGUGUUGUGGGUAUCGACCCCCGCAGUGCUGCAGCUAACGCAAUAAGUAUCCCGCCUGGGGAGUACGCACGCAAGUGUGAAACUCAAAUGAAUUGACGG
rnacentral:rRNA from 1 species